GGUGGCCUAGUGGUUAGAGCCUCCGCCUUGGAUGCGAAAGGUCGUGGGUUCAAUAACGGUCGAAUCAUACCAAAGACU